rnacentral:rRNA from 1 species
CUGGUUGAUCCUGCCAGACCCGACUGCUAUCAGAGUGAGAUUAAGCCAUGCGAGUCAACGUAGCAAUACGUGGCACACGGCUCAGUAACACGUAGUCAACAUGCCCAGGGGACGUGGAUAACCUCGGGAAACUGAGGAUAAACCGCGAUAGGUCAUAAUGUCUGGAAUGAUUUAUGGCUAAAAUCUACAUGGCCCCUGGAUUGGACUGCGGCCGAUCAGGCUGUUGGUGAGGUAAUGGCCCACCAAACCUAAAACCGGUACGGGCUCUGAGAGGAGAAGCCCGGAGAUGGGCACUGAGACAAGGGCCCAGGCCCUAUGGGGCGCAGCAGGCGCGAAAACUCUGCAAUAAGCGAAAGCUUGACAGGGUUAUUCUGAGUGAUUUCCGCUAAGGAGAUCUUUUGGCACCUCUAAAAAUGGUGCAGAAUAAGGGGUGGGCAAGCCUGGUGUCAGCCGCCGCGGUAAUACCAGCACCCCGAGUGGUCGGGACGAUUAUUGGGCCUAAAGCAUCCGUAGCCGGUACUGCAAGUCUUCCGUUAAAUCCACCUGCUCAACAGUUGGGCUGCGGGGGAUACUACAGCGCUAGGAGGCGGGAGAGGCAAGCGGUACUCAGUGGGUAGGGGUAAAAUCCACUGAUCCAUUGAAGACCACCAGUGGCGAAGGCGGCUUGCCAGAACGCGCUCGACGGUGAGGGAUGAAAGCUGGGGGAGCAAACCGGAUUAGAUACCCGGGUAGUCCCAG